rnacentral:tRNA from 2 species
GGGGGUAUAGCUCAGGGGUAGAGCAUUUGACUGUAGAUCAAGAGGUCCCUGGUUCAAAUCCAGGUGCCCCCU